rnacentral:lncRNA from 1 species
AAUAUCGAUGCAUAUCUUACUUGGUGACAUUUUAUGUAGAUUUUAAGGACUUUUUAAUCACAGCAAUUACUAGUUAUAAUUUUUCUUUAAAAUUUUCUAAGAUAUUUUUUUUUCCUCAAAUAACUAUCAUAUACAAACAAUUAAUCAACUAAACAAAUGAAUGAACAUUUAUCUUCAUAAAUCACAAAAUAUAGAUAAC